rnacentral:rRNA from 1 species
UUUCGCAAUGCCCGAAAGGGUGGCGGAGCGACGCCGCGUGAGUGAGGAAGGCCUUCGGGUUGUAAAGCUCUGUCAGGAGUUAAGAAAUAUAAGUGUGCUAAUACCACAUUUAUUUGACAAAAGCUCCAAAGGAAGCCACGGCUAACUCUGUGCCAGCAGCCGCGGUAAUACAGAGGUGGCAAGCGUUGUUCGGAAUUAUUGGGCGUAAAGAGCACGUAGGUGGGUUUGUAAGUCAGAUGUGAAAGCCUUCUGUUCAACGGAAGAAUUGCAUCUGAAACUGCGAGUCUUGAGUGUAGGAGGGGAGAAUGGAACUUCCGGUGGAGCGGUGAAAUGCGUAGAUAUCAGAAGGAACGCCGGCGGCGAAAGCGAUUCUCUGGCCUAUUACUGACACUCAGUGUGCGAAAGCUAGGGGAGCAAACGGGAUUAGAUACCCCGGUAGUCCUAGCUGUAAACGAUGGGCACUAAGUAGAGGGGUUUUA